GAGCUCCUACGGGGGGCAGCAGUGGGGAAUAUUGCGCAAUGGGCGAAAGCCUGACGCAGCGACGCCGCGUGGGGGAUGAAGGUCUUCGGAUCGUAAACCUCUGUCAGCAGGGAAGAACGGUCACUGCGCUAAUCAGCAGUGAAUUGACGGUACCUGCAAAGGAAGCACCGGCUAACUCCGUGCCAGCAGCCGCGGUAAUACGGAGGGUGCGAGCGUUAAUCGGAAUUACUGGGCGUAAAGCGCUCGUAGGCGGUAUGUCAAGUCAG
rnacentral:rRNA from 1 species